rnacentral:tRNA from 1 species
GGAGAGCGCUUGCAUGGCAUGCAAGAGGUCAGCGGUUCGAUCCCGCUUAGCUCCACCA